GUGCUCGCUUCAGCAGCACAUAUACUAAAAUUGAACGAUACAGAGAAUAUUAGCAUGGCCCCAUGCUAAAGGAUGACACAAAUUGGAAGCAUUCCAUAUUUUU